AUGAAUCACUUGACAAAAAUGCAGCCCAAUUCUAGGCGGAUUUGUUCUGAACAGUGCGGCUUUGUGGAGGGGACGGCUGCGCUGUGCUUUCCCCGCCAAGACCCCAGCAGCGCAGCCAAGCUGCUCCGCAGGCCAGGAACCAGAGCAGGGCAGGGACGGAGGGAGGCAGCGGGGGGAAGCCCAGGUGGGGAGGCGACGCCGAGGUCCCUGGGGAGGAGGAGGGUGGCACAGGACCCCAGCACCUGGGGAGCGGCACCAGGGCCCCCUCGGGUCUCCACAAAGGCCAGAUCACGCAGAGGCCGAGGCUCGGCCACGGCUGCCUCACCCCGCGGCAGAACCGAGCCAGAGGCCCCUGCAGGUCCCAGGCACGACCCCCCUGGCCCGGCUGCAAGGCACAGCCACCUCCCUCCCCCUGCAGACCCCGUGCCCAUGGGGCAGCGCGUCCCCUCGCCACCCUUUGAGCAGGAAUGCUGGUGUCUGCCCGUAGCUCAGCGCCCUGCACAGAAGCUGCCACCAAAGCACCUCUGUGCCCGCAGCCGCGCCUCGGGAGCACCCCAGGCCCUGCCCGCAGCAGGGGGCUGUGUUACCCCCCUCCCCGUGCCCCUGGCUCGGGGGAUGCGGGGCCGGGAUCCAAGUGCCUGCGAUGACCCCGCUGCGCUGACACAGCACGGCCCCAGCAGCGCUGGCCCCACAGCAACACCCCGGGAGCGGGCGCUGGGGAGGCAGAGGAGGGGGCUUCACCCCUGGGCUGAGGAGGGUCCUGGUGGGAUUUGGGCAGGGCCGGCACCACAGCGUGGUGGGGAGCACUUGUGCUGCUUGCAGGCACACAGCACCUGCUUGCCAGGAGCGCUGUGGAAGCCUCAUGGGAUGGGGUGGGGGUGCCCAGCGCCUCCCCGGAGCAGCUCCCCCAGCCUGGCAGCCGAUGCCAUGUCCUCAGCUGUGCCAGACACCCUACAACGUGCCAGCAGGAGCUCGGUGGGUGUUCUCCGGGAUGUGGCAGCUUUCCACCUUGACCAGCCUGGGCUGGGGGCUGUAAAGGCCCGGGCACCCCUCGGCACACCAGUCCCUGUACAAGGAAUGGCCCCGCACCAGGACACGUCCCAGCCCCUCUGUUUGGGAGACGAGCACGGGACCGGCUGGGACACCACGGCUGAGGGGCAGCUCCAGGAGUGGAGCUGGAGGCAGAGGCUGUCACCCGUCACUGCAAAACCCACUGGCACAUUGUGCCAGGCUACUGCGGCUCGCUGUCCGUCACGAUCGCCCUUUUGCUCCCUGUCAGCCCCAGGACCCAGCCUGCAGCUCCCUGUGGGGCUGAGCAGGAGGACAAGCUGCUGCCCUGUGCCGUGGGGUGACCACGGGGCGUGCAGGGCCACCAAGCCAGGUCCCUGCUGCGGGCAGCCCCUACUGCAGCAGGAGCCACCCCAGGCACCCAGUGCAGAUGCCCCCAGGGUGCUGCAGGGAGAUGCGGGUUCUCCCCCCAUUUUCUCCUGGGGGAAGGAGGAAACACGGUUUGGGGCUGUGUGCGGGUGCUGCCCUGCAGCGGGGCAAAUCCUCCCAUUGCCCACCCCAGCUCCGGAGGUCCCCCCCGCGCUUGCCCCAGGGGCUCAGGGCCAGCACAAGGUGCCUCAGCCCCCGCAGCUCCCCUCCCAGCCAGGGGCACUGUGCGCAGCAGCCCCUUCCCGGGACAUCCUGCCCCAAACCCACCGCACGGCCCCCGCCCGCGGCCGCCUGGGCAGCGCGGGUGCCCGCAGAGCACGGGAAGCGCUCCCGGCUGAAUGGCCGGGGAACAAAGCUCCCUUCUCCGGGGCUGCUGGCAGCCAGCGGAGCCCAGGGGCCGCCUGCCAGUGCCAGCCCUGCCCGCUGCCUGCCCGGCCCCGCUGCGACUGCAGCCCCGGGGUCACCGCAGCCUGCAUGGCACCGGCAGAGCCAGAACCCAGCGAAACGUCCCCGGGGAGGGCUCCUCCACCCCAGACCCUCAGCACGGGCUGGGGCCAGCCCCGGGCACCUGCCCGAGCCCUGUGUGCAGAGCAGGGCACCCAGCCCCAGCACGCGGCCAGGGCAGCUUUGGGCACGCAGAGGCCGGGGGAUGCGGCACAGCUCGGGCUGGAUGGCGGCUGGGGCUGGGCCGGGCUCCCCUUGCUCCCGGCAGCUCCCAGCGGGGAGCACAAGGGCUCAGCCCCAGCCCCAGCCCCACGUCCCGGCCCCGUGGGCAGGGGAAGCGCCCGGGCCAGGCCCCGCUCGUCCCGCGGCCUGCGCGGCUGCUGCAGCGUGCGCAGCGCUCCCAAGCGCGGCCUGCGUCAUCCCGGCUCUGACGGGAGCGGGAUGGGGCCCAAUCAGCGGCGGCCCCGAGCCGUCAGCCCACGGCCCCGCUGCCGCAGCUGCACGGGAAGGGCUGGGACCGGCGCUGGGAGCUCCCGGCCGCGCGAGCGCAGCACAGCGGGGCGGCACCGGGGUGGCACCGGGGCGGCAGCGGGGCUGGCGGCCUCCUGCCCAGCCAUGGCUCAGCAGGGCCCGAGGGGCAGCGCUGCCCCCGGGGCCAGCAGUGAGGGCAGGUCCCACUUCUGCUCCCCAAACCUUCUCUUCGCCCCAGUCCCUGCCUGGCCACCAGGAGCCCUCGCCAUUCCUGCCCUGAUCGCUGCACCCCAGUAUGAGGCACCGAGCCCUGGGACAGCCAGGGUCAGCACGGCGCUGCCAGGGGCUGGAUCCCAGGGGCAGGCCAAGCACCCGCUCUCUGGCCACCUUGCCACCCCUGGCACUGCCCCACACACCCCUCCAGGGCCAUCACUGCCCCACGGAGCCAAAGCCACAGCCUGA
rnacentral:lncRNA from 1 species